rnacentral:rRNA from 1 species
UACGUAGGGGGCAAGCGUUGUCCGGAAUAAUUGGGCGUAAAGGGCGCGUAGGCGGCUCGGUAAGUCUGGAGUGAAAGUCCUGCUUUUAAGGUGGGAAUUGCUUUGGAUACUGUCGGGCUUGAGUGCAGGAGAGGUUAGUGGAAUUCCCAGUGUAGCGGUGAAAUGCGUAGAGAUUGGGAGGAACACCAGUGGCGAAGGCGACUAACUGGACUGUAACUGACGCUGAGGCGCGAAAGUGUGGGGAGCAAACAGGAUUAGAGACCCUGGUAGUCCACACUGUAAACGAUGAUAACUAGCUGUCGGCGAUAGACCGUCGGUGGCCAAGCGAAAGCGAUAAGUUAUCCACCUGGGGAGUACGACCGCAAGGUUGAA